rnacentral:rRNA from 1 species
UACGUAGGGUGCAAGCGUUGUCCGGAAUUAUUGGGCGUAAAGAGCUCGUAGGCGGUCUGUCGCGUCGGCUGUGAAAACCCGGGGCUCAACCCCGGGCCUGCAGUCGAUACGGGCAGACUAGAGUGCGGUAGGGGAGACUGGAAUUCCUGGUGUAGCGGUGAAAUGCGCAGAUAUCAGGAGGAACACCGGUGGCGAAGGCGGGUCUCUGGGCCGUAACUGACGCUGAGGAGCGAAAGCGUGGGGAGCAAAAGGG